rnacentral:rRNA from 1 species
AUUGAACGCUGGCGGCAUGCUUUACACAUGCAAGUCGAACGGUAACAGGCCGCAAGGUGCUGACGAGUGGCGAACGGGUGAGUAAUGCAUCGGAACGUGCCCAGUCGUGGGGGAUAACUACUCGAAAGAGUAGCUAAUACCGCAUACGAUCUAUGGAUGAAAGCGGGGGACCGUAAGGCCUCGCGCGAUUGGAGCGGCCGAUGUCAGAUUAGGUAGUUGGUGGGGUAAAGGCUCACCAAGCCAACGAUCUGUAGCUGGUCUGAGAGGACGACCAGCCACACUGGGACUGAGACACGGCCCAGACUCCUACGGGAGGCAGCAGUGGGGAAUUUUGGACAAUGGGCGCAAGCCUGAUCCAGCAAUGCCGCGUGCAGGAAGAAGGCCUUCGGGUUGUAAACUGCGUUUGUACGGAACGAAACGGCUCUGGUUAAUACCCGGGGCUAAUGACGGUACCGUAAGAAUAAGCGCCGGCUAACUACGUG